rnacentral:lncRNA from 1 species
AUAGCCAAUGGUUUGCUUGUGAAAAAGAUUUCCAGACUAUUUCAAAAGCCCAACUAUAUUCAUGCCCAUAUACCCAUCAACAGAUGAAUGAAUAAAGAAAAUGUAGAAGAUGCCAAAACACCCCGCUGCAGACAGGCAGCCACCUGGGUCCACACUACAAAGACACAGAGGACACCAGACCACCAGACCAAGGUGCUUUGAUUCAGCAAGCAACCACAGUCAAAAACAAAGAUAUCAGAAAAUUUUUGGAUGGCAUCUACGUUUCUGAAAAGGGAACAGUUCAGCAGCCUGAUGAAUAAGAUCCAAGAGUUAUCCAGCUACAGAAACAAGCUUCUGGAUUAGAAGAUAAAUUUGUGAUAUUUUAAUGAUGGCAAUAAAAGAUCUCUAUUGAAAAAAAAUGAACAAUACUUUGUGUGGUCCAUAUGCCCAAGAAUUGUGGAAGCCCAUUACAAAUUAAUUCAUAUUUGCUGCUCCAGAUUUCCCGCAUAUCAAAGACUGCAGAG